GUGGGGAAUAUUGGACAAUGGGGGGAACCCUGAUCCAGCCAUGCCGCGUGUGUGAAGAAGGCCUUUUGGUUGUAAAGCACUUUAAGCGAGGAGGAGGCUACCGAGAUUAAUACUCUUGGAUAGUGGACGUUACUCGCAGAAUAAGCACCGGCUAACUCUGGGCCAGCAGCCGCGGUAAUACAGAGGGUGCAAGCGUUAAUCGGAUUUACUGGGCGUAAAGCGCGCGUAGGUGGCCAAUUAAGUCAAAUGUGAAAUCCCCGAGCUUAACUUGGGAAUUGCAUUCGAUACUGGUUGGCUAGAGUAUGGGAGAGGAUGGUAGAAUUCCAGGUGUAGCGGUGAAAUGCGUAGAGAUCUGGAGGAAUACCGAUGGCGAAGGCAGCCAUCUGGCCUAAUACUGACACUGAGGUGCGAAAGCAUGGGGAGCAAACAGGAUUAGAAACCCGGGUAGUCC
rnacentral:rRNA from 1 species